rnacentral:misc_RNA from 1 species
ACGAGUUAGGGCCUCCGUGCCCGACCUCCAACCCUCUUGUAUCACAAAACCUCGUUGCCCUCGGGGGUGGCCCUGCCUCGCGGCGGGCCCCCCGGAGGACCACUCAAACACUGCAUUUUAGUGUCGUCUGAGUUAGAUUUUAAAUGAAAUCA